rnacentral:rRNA from 1 species
ACUUAAAUUGAAGAGUUUGAUCAUGGCUCAGAUUGAACGCUGGCGGCAGGCCUAACACAUGCAAGUCGAGCGGUAGCACAGAGAGCUUGCUCUCGGGUGACGAGCGGCGGACGGGUGAGUAAUGUCUGGGAAACUGCCUGAUGGAGGGGGAUAACUACUGGAAACGGUAGC